CGUUGGAAUCUGAGAGGGAACGCGUGCAAGGGGGAUGAUAUUGUUGUCUUUAUCCCUUUUUAUAAGUUCACGGUAAAACUUCUGAUUGGUCUGAGUUAGUAGUUUCCUAUAAAAUCAUUUCUUCCGCCUCUAUUUCCGUCUCACUUCACGUCACUUAAAAUUUUUUCAAGAAAUACAGUUGUCGAAUGAAUUGCUGUCAUAUUUUAGUAAUACAAUGCCGAAAAUAGCCACUUACUUCUGCCUCUUUUUGAUACGGAUAUAAAUAUAAGUUGGAUGUUAUCCUCCGUGUUUAGAGUUGUGGCUUUACUUUAUGCAAUUGGUUGGGGACCGUAGCUGAUAACGCACGCGGCUCAAGAAAUUGGUGAUCGCACCGGCGUUAUGCUGUUGUUGUCGUGGUAAUAGGGAACCAGACGAGGUGCAGGUGCAAAGAGAGAGAGACGGGAUUACCACCAGGAAAGAGAGACGAAAAGAAACGAUGAAGAAAUUGGUGAUGAAGUAUCAGUUAAGGGGCCGCUACUUUGAAAAAUGUGAGGAAGACAACCUAAGUGGAGAUGACACAACGGAUGACAAAAAAGGGAAAGCAGGAAAAAAAGAGAGUUCCCAGUUCAUUGAGGAAAACAUUAAGUUACUUAAACGAUUGGUUGAUCGUUAGACGAAGGAGCUUGCCAAACUUAAUGAGAUGAUGGACACAUAAUUUUCACAG